GAGACACCUUUCUGGGGCAAGACUUGCUUCAGUGGGGCUUUGGUGCUCCGAGUCUGCCCCCUGAGUGUGUCCCU
rnacentral:pre_miRNA from 1 species